GACGAACGCUGGCGGCGUGCUUAACACAUGCAAGUCGAACGGUGAAGCGCCUUCCUUUUUGGUGGGUGUGGAUGAGUGGCGAACGGGUGAGUAACACGUGAGUAACCUGCCCCCUUCUUCUGGAUAACCGCAUGAAAGUGUGGCUAAUACGGGAUAUUCUGGGUCUGUCGCAUGAUGGGUCUGGGAAAGAUAUUGUUUCGGUGGGGGAUGGGCUCGCGGCCUAUCAGCUUGUUGGUGGGGUGAUGGCCUACCAAGGCGGUGACGGGUAGCCGGCCUGAGAGGGUGGACGGUCACACUGGGACGGAGACACGGCCCAGACUCCUACGGGAGGCAGCAGUGGGGAAUAUUGCACAAUGGGCGCAAGCCUGAUGCAGCGACGCCGCGUGAGGGAUGGAGGCCUUCGGGUUGUGAACCUCCUUCGCCAGUGAAGCAGGCCUGCCUCGUUUGUGGGUGGGUUGACGGUAGCUGGAUAAGAAGCGCCGGCUAACUACGUG
rnacentral:rRNA from 1 species